rnacentral:lncRNA from 1 species
GUGUCAUUUUGGUCUUUUGUGGAUAGUUGUUUCAUUGGCAAUCAUACCACAUCUCCUUUUUUAUAUUUCCUCAUUUUUACGCAUGUUGUGGCAUUUAGGUACUCCGUAAACCCUCUUAUGGCAUUGCGAAUCAAAAUAUAGCUUUAGAGUCAACAGUCAAUUUUUUUUAUAUUUAUUUCACUAUUCACCGCUUCAAUUUGAA